rnacentral:rRNA from 1 species
UACGUAGGGUGCGAGCGUUAAUCGGAAUUACUGGGCGUAAAGCGUGCGCAGGCGGCUUUGCAAGACAGAUGUGAAAUCCCCGGGCUCAACCUGGGAACUGCAUUUGUGACUGCAAUGCUGGAGUGCGGCAGAGGGGGAUGGAAUUCCGCGUGUAGCAGUGAAAUGCGUAGAUAUGCGGAGGAACACCGAUGGCGAAGGCAAUCCCCUGGGCCUGCACUGACGCUCAUGCACGAAAGCGUGGGGAGCAAACAGG